UAUUAAAAAUUUCAUUCAUUUUUAUUGUUAAAAACUAACUAGGUUAAUGAAAUAACAGGACAGUUGCAUGUGGUGUGCCACACAUACUUUACGUUGAUUACAAAGACAUUUUUAACAAUAAAAAUAUAUAAAAAUUUUAACA
rnacentral:pre_miRNA from 1 species